GUGUCAGCAGCCGCGGUAAUACAGAGGGUGCGAGCGUUGUUCGGAAUUACUGGGCGUAAAGCGCGCGCAGGCGGCCCUUUAAGUCCGUCGGUCAAAUGCCGGGGCUCAACCCCGAGCGUGCCGAGGAUACUGGAGGGCUGGAGACACGUAGAGGCAAGCGGAAUUCCGGGUGUAGCGGUGGAAUGCGUAGAGAUCCGGAAGAACACCGGAGGCGAAGGCGGCUUGCUGGGCGUGAUCUGACGCUGAGGCGCGAAAGCGUGGGGAGCGAACAGGAUUAGAAACCCUUGUAGUCC
rnacentral:rRNA from 1 species